GAGUUCCAGUAGAUAGGGUGGCGGAGGCUGGAGCACCCCCGCAGGCGCGAGCCGAGCAGCGCGGCCCAGAGCACAGUCCGCAGCAGGGGUAGCAGCCGCAUCGCCCCUGAGGUCCAGUCUGGUCUGGCCCGGCUGGUCCCUGCCCACUUCUCUGUCGGGGCGAGAAAGCUCUAAGACCAGACAAGUUUGAAGAGAAUGUUCAGUGAAUAAAGGACCCAAACACUGGAGAAGUGUACGGGGAAAUGAGGAGACCCACAGGCAGCUUACCAUAUUCACACCUCCGGAGAAGUCAGGGGAACAGAUGGAAUUCUGAAUGGCCAUGCCCACCAUGGGCCCAGAGAAGGAGGUAACACUGCAGGACAGUGGGGGGGGGGAGAUCAGAGUCUAAAGCCAUCAUUGUCAGAGCCUCACGGGAGUUGAAGGGAUGGACACUCAGCCCUGACAGGAUAGCAUCAGGCCCCGGGGUAGCAGGGCUUGGGAUCCUUACGUCACCAGCUGGGCACUGUCAUGGGGCAGUCGAGGCAGCAAGUCUGUCCGGCGCCAGCGGAGGAAGUUGUCUAGCAGGACAGCUGGGUUGGAGCUCAUCUCUAUCAGGUCGUGCUGGGUCCAUGCCUCUAGGCCCACAAGCGCUACCCGGACAUUCAAGGGCUGGAAGAACUGAAAGGUCUGAGGCUCAGAAAAGGGGCGGGGCCGCAGUAAGAGAGUGAUGGGGCUAGGGCCACAGUAAGGGAGGGCUGGGCCUCCUACCCAGCCCCAGACUCACCGUGUCUAGCAAGAGAGCUGCUUCUAGUGUUCGGUUCAGCAGUUGUUGGAAGUCAGGGUACUUCCUGACCUGGGGGGGCCAAGUGGGGUUAUCUUGAAAUGUAGGAAAGUGGGUGUGGGCAGGGAGCAAGAGCAGGCUAUGGUGUCAACACACUCACCUCUGAAUUGUCAGCCACAAUCACCAGCUCCACAAUUUUCGUCUCUGUUACUACAUCCCGCUUAAGCUGUGGAUAAGAAUCGAGAUGUGUCGGGCAGAUUCUCCUCAGGGCCACUGCCCCGGGCUGGGUAAGCUGUGUCCAUACCCACUUUGAGUCGUUAAGAGGAUGAAGACCUCACGGGGUAUGUGAGAGCUCAGAGACCUGCCCAUAGUGGACCAAGGACAGAUUAUGAAUCCCAUAAUGGGAUUCUAUUUUCCUACUCUAAAGCAAGCUUUUGGGUUUCUGAGACAGUGUCUUGCUGUGCAGCUCCGGCUGGCAGUGAACUCUGUCCUCCUGCCUCUGAUCCCCAAACAGCUGCUAGGACACAGUUGUGUACAUUCAAGCCUGGCUUCCUUCGAUUUUAAAAAAUACUAACUAAAGCCAGGCAUGUUGGCACGCACCUUUAAUCCCAGCACAGGCAGAGGUAGGUGGAUCUCAGUGAGUUCAAGGCCAGCCUGGUUAAAUUCCAGGACAGCCAAGGCUAUAGAGAGAGACCCUAUCUUAAACACAAACAAACAAAAGCAAAUCAAAACCUAUUAUGGGUGGGUAUGGUAGAGCAGACCUUUAAUCCCAUUGCUCAGGAGGCAAACAGACAAACAAACAAACAAACACAAAAACCGAAACAACUAAAUAACAGCUGACAUUAUCACAUACAGUGUUCCAGGCUCCAGUGCUAAGCACCUGCCAUAUCAAUUCACUUUAAUUUUCACACUGUAGUGUAAUCUCCAUCUUCGUAAAUUAGGAUUUCUUCCUUGGCAAAUAGAGCUUUGGGCAGCACCUGCCUUCUCAGGUUGCUAGGAAGAGCGACGACCAAGGCAGCGUUCACACCAUGCCUGAAACAUGGGGUCUGGGCUCUCAGGCUGCCUCCUCACCCUGUGAAUGUGAUGCUGUUCCGGAAGGAGGUCUGGUCCUGCCCAAGUGGGCACAGAGGCAUGCCAGCUUGGGGCACAGGUGUGGCCUGGCAACAGGAGGUCUUGGAUCUGAGAAACGAUGGGACGCUGAAGGUCCCCAGGGCCCAGCUCCAGUGUAUAGCCUCUCUCUGGGGACAGGACGACCAACCCCCUAAGGAAAAGGACAGGGAGUCAGAGUAUUUCGGCUCCCUGCCUGUGUGGAUCCUCUCCCCUGGUAGCUAACCCACCCACAGUACCUGAUCCCAGAGCAGGCACAGAGGGAGACAAAGGAGCUGGGGUGGCCCUGCACUCGUCCUCGGUAGCAGCAGUUUUCCUACAGCAGGGAAGCCACAUUAGUUACCACAAGCCCACAGGGGAGACCAGACAACCCCGGAGUCCAGCUUGCCAGCAAGGGCAGGCAGGACCCUCCCACUUCCUCCAGGGCUGCCAUCCUCCCUUCUUCCUUCCCUCUUUUGCCCAGGCCUGAAGCAGCACCAGAGGGCCUGACUCACCAGACUGUAGCCCUCACUGACCAUUCGGGUGCCAUCAGGCUGGUACCACACCAGAGUUGGGCGGCCAGGGAUAAGAUCUCUGUGAGAAAAAGAGGGCAGGAUUUGAGCCCCUUCACAGGGUGUUGGAGUGACAAGCUAGGGCCCGAAGUAGACAAGGGUAUGUUAGGGACCAGGCAAUGCCACCAAACUAACUACUCGGUUCCUUCCAGGCCACAGAGUCUGAAGGAUGAGCUGUCGUCUCCUCCUGCCUGUCUAAGUUGCAAUAUGAUUUUUGACAUCUAUAACUGUAUGAACUCAGGCAAGUUAUUUAAUUUCUCUGGGCUUUAACUUCUUCAAAUGUUAAAUAAGAAUCAUAAGUAAUAGCAUCUAUAUAGGAUUGUGGUUAAGGAGUCCCUGAGCAUAGGUACUUAGUACUUGGUGCAUAAUAAAUGUUAUGUAA
ensembl:antisense 4731419I09Rik RIKEN cDNA 4731419I09 gene